UCUCGAACUCCGAACGGGCAAGGAGCCGGGGUCGCCCGAUCGGACCCCGGACGUGAAGUCGACGAUGGUCGGUGGGCUGGUUUUGGUAAGCAGAACGGGCGAUUCGGGAUGAACCGGAAGCGGGGAGAAAGGGCCCGAGAUUGCGUCGACGCGGAUCCCGAAAAGGGCGUCGAUCCGUCGCGACAGCGGGACGGUGGUCAUGGAAGUCGAAAUCCGCUAAGAAGCGUGUAAAAACGUACCCGCCCAACGGAUCGGCCCCGAAAAUUGAUGGCGCUCGAACGCAACCCUCGAACCCCGCCGACGGAGGCUAGGGGAGGCCCCGUCGAGUAGGCGGACGCGCGGGUCGCUUCGACGCUCCCGCGCGAGCGGGGGCGGAGCGGCCCGUGGUGCAGAUCUUGGUGGUAGUAGCGAUCACCCAGGCGAGAACCCUGAGGGCCGAAGUGGAGAAGGGUUUCUCGAGAACGGCACUCGCUCGAGAGUUAGUCGAUCCUAAGCUGCCGGCGGCAGCCACGAAACGGUCGAUCGGGCGCGAGCCGGCAGCCACGACCGGGCAGCGAAA
rnacentral:rRNA from 1 species